rnacentral:rRNA from 1 species
AACGAACGCUGGCGGCAGGCUUAACACAUGCAAGUCGAACGAAGUCUUCGGACUUAGUGGCGCACGGGUGAGUAACACGUGGGAAUAUGCCUCUUGGUGGGGAAUAACAUCGGGAAACUGAUGCUAAUACCGCAUACGCCCUUCGGGGAAGAUUUAUCGCCGAGAGAUUAGCCCGCGUCCGAUUAGCUAGUUGGUGAGGUAAUGGCUCACCAAGGCGACGAUCGGUAGCUGGUCUGAGAGGAUGAUCAGCCACACUGGGACUGAGACACGGCCCAGACUCCUACGGAGGCAGCAGUGGGGAAUAUUGCGCAAUGGGCGAAAGCCUGACGCAGCGACGCCGCGUGGGUGAUGAAGGCC